rnacentral:tRNA from 5 species
GCCGGGGUGGUGGAACUGGUAGACACGCUAUCUUGAGGGGGUAGUGCCCGCUAGGGCGUAGGGGUUCAAGUCCCCUCCCCGGCACCA